rnacentral:rRNA from 1 species
UACGAAGGGGGCUAGCGUUGCUCGGAAUCACUGGGCUUAAAGCGUGUGUAGGCGGAUUGGUAAGUACCUUGUGAAAUCCCACGGCUCAACCGUGGAACUGCUCGGUAUACUGCCUGUCUUGUGCAACCUAGGGGCGAGCGGAACAGAUGGUGGAGCGGUGAAAUGCGUAGAUAUCAUCUGGAACGCCAAUGGUGAAAACAGCUCGCUGGGGGUUUGCAGACGCUGAGACACGAAAGCCAGGGGAGCGAACGGG